rnacentral:rRNA from 1 species
GACGUUUAUCGCGAUUUAUUCGGGCGUAAGCGAGCGCAGACGGUUAUUUAAGUCUGAAGUGAAAGCCCUCAGCUCAACUGAGGAAUGGCUUUGGAAACUGGAUGACUUGAGUGCAGUAGAGGAAAGAGGAACUCCAUGUGUAGCGGUGAAAUGCGUAGAUAUAUGGAAGAACACCAGUGGCGAAGGCGGCUUUCUGGACUGUAACUGACGUUGAGGCUCGAAAGUGUGGGUAGCAAACAGGAUUAGAUACCCUGGUAGUCCACACCGUAAACGAUGAGUGCUAGAUGUUCGAGGGUUUCCGCCCUUGAGUGUCGCAGCUAACGCAUUAAGCACUCCGCCUGGGGAGUACGACCGCAAGGUUGAAACUCAAAGGAAUUGACGGGGACCCGCACAAGCGGUGGAGCAUGUGGUUUAAUUCGAAGCAACGCGAAGAACCUUACCAGGUCUUGACAUCCCUUGCUAAUCCUAGAAAUAGGACGUUCCCUUCGGGGACAAGGUGACAGGUGGUGCAUGGUUGUCGUCAGCUCGUGUCGUGAGAUGUUGGGUUAAGUCCCGCAACGAGCGCAACCCUUAUUAUUAGUUGCCAGCAUUUAGUUGGGCACUCUAGUGAGACUGCCGGUGACAAACCGGAGGAAGGUGGGGAUGACGUCAAAUCAUCAUGCCCCUUAUGACCUGGGCUACACACGUGCUACAAUGGCAUAUACAACGAGUCGCCAACCCGCGAGGGUGCGCUAAUCUCUUAAAGUAUGUCUCAGUUCGGAUUGUAGGCUGCAACUCGCCUACAUGAAGUCGGAAUCGCUAGUAAUCGCGGAUCACACGCGCGGGGGGAAAAAAACUUUCCCGGGGUCUUGGACCCCCCCGCCCGUCACACCAUGGAAAGUUUGUAACACCCAAAAGCCCGGUGGGGGUAACCUUUUUAGGAACCAGCCCGUCUAAAGGUGGGACAGAUGAUUAAGGUGAUGUAGGGAGAAAAAGGGGGAAAAAAAAAAAAAAAAGGGGGGGAGGCGGAG